UUUGAUUGUUUCAGCACACUCCGAAGAGACCCAAGACGGCCGAGCCAGCAGCUCAUUUGUGAGCUAAUGGGGGAGAUAUGCGCUGAUAGCUUCACACUCCGCACUCCAUCAGUCUCUGGCUUGCUCGCCGUCUCCGCCUGGGCAGGCUGUCUGGGUUGGCCAGAAGCCAUUAGGGACCAGCGGGAUGUUUUGGAGCCGGAGAGGGACCUGCUGAAACUCGAUAGCCAAGAGUGACGGGUGUGGACUAGGCCUACCCAUUCCUCCCGCUGCAGCAUCACCGGGCGACGGCAGCCUCCUGAGGGAGCACUGGGGACGCGCUGGGCCUGACAGUGGAGCCAGGGCCGGUUUAUCAGAUCAAGCAUGUUAUUUCCCCCUGGAUGUCUUCCUAUUACUCUUGGCCAGGUGCCAGCCCCACGCGGACCCAGAGACGGGCGCCUCCGAGAAGCCUCCGGAUUACAGGCUGCUGGUGCAUGAAUCAAGCCACUCAAUUCUGCUGUUUAUGAGGCUAUUAAUGAGAGUCUAGUAUCAUCUGCCACUCCUUAUGUGUGUGUACACACACACACACACACACACACACACACACAAAUGCAAACACACACACAGACACACACACUCUCUCUGUCUCGCGCUCUCCCUUUGAUACAGAGAUGAACAUAACCCCUCCAGGUGAAAUAGUAUAAUCCCUUUUUAAUGUGCUUCUCUGGACCCAGACCAAAAUGUGGACAAUCCAGAACAAAAAUGCCUACCCCCUCACUAAACCGCUUAUGUACUGUGCACAAGGGGAGAGGAAAUGGUGAUUGAAUGGGUCAUUAGGAAAUGUAACAAAGUAAAAAAGAAUACACUUUGGAUCUGAUGACAGCCAAUGGAUUGUCCACAUGGGUCCAGGACAUACAGUGAUAUUUCUGAGGUAGUGUUGGGCAUGGAGAGAGACUCAAUAGUGUCUUAUCUUUCAUAUGAUCAGACUUUACACAGAUGAGUGAGAUGACACAACGAAAAAAGCAGAGGGGGUUAGCAAUCUUUGGUAUUGAUAUGGAACGGUGAUUUAACUUUUCCACCAGAAAUACUUCACAGGUGUCCCCGAUACAGAAGUAUAUUGUAUUAUAUUGUCUCCGGGAAUUAUCAAGUUUAAACACAUCAAAUUGUAUUUUCUAUCAUUUAUUUUGAUCUCAUUCAUCAUCAAACCCCCAAAAUAAUUCCAAUCUUAGUCUUGGCGUCUCUUGUUGCCAAGCAACACCCAUUUGCUUGUCUAUACGUCACAUACUAAACUGAACGUUCACCCUACUGCAUUUUGUCCAUUUUCUCACUUACUAACUCUCAAAUAUGACAGUAAACAGUCCAAGUGGGGAUGUCUUAAGAUAUCUCCUUUCUGGAAUGCCUCUUUUCAAUCAGAAAUAAAUAAAUAGUUCAACCAAACCUCAAUUCUCAAACUGUUGUAGAAUACAAAAUAUGAA